GUACACUCCUACGGGAGGCAGCAGUGGGGAAUAUUGGACAAUGGGCGCAAGCCUGAUCCAGCCAUGCCGCGUGAGUGAUGAAGGCCCUAGGGUUGUAAAGCUCUUUCACCGGUGAAGAUAAUGACGGUAACCGGAGAAGAAGCCCCGGCUAACUUCGUGCCAGCAGCCGCGGUAAUACGAAGAGGGCUAGCGUUGUUCGGAUUUACUGGGCGUAAAGCGCACGUAGGCGGACUAUUAAGUCAGGGGUGAAAUCCCGGGGCUCAACCCCGGAACUGCCUUUGAUACUGGUAGUCUUGAGUUCGAGAGAGGUGAGUGGAAUUCCGAGUGCAGAGGUGAAAUUCGUAGAUAUUCGGAGGAACACCAGUGGCGAAGGCGGCUCACUGGCUCGAUACUGACGCUGAGGUGCGAAAGCGUGGGGAGCAAACAGGAUUAGAUACCCGGGUAGUCCCAUG
rnacentral:rRNA from 1 species